rnacentral:rRNA from 1 species
GACGAACGCUGGCGGCGUGCUUAACACAUGCAAGUGGAGCGACGAACCGGGGCUUGCCCCGGGGCAGAGCCGCGAACGGGUGAGUAACACGUGGGUAACCUGCCUCAAUGAUUGGGACAACCCGGGGAAACUCGGGCUAAUACCAAAUGUGUUCACUCCUUUUAAGGGGAGUGAGGAAAGGAAGCUUCGGCCUCCGCAUUGAGAUGGGCCCGCGGCCCAUUAGCUUGUUGGUGAGGUAACCGGCUCACCAAGGCUUCGAUGGUAGCUGGUCUGAGAGGACGAUCAGCCACACUGGGACUGAGACACGGCCCAGACUCCUACGGAGGCAGCAGUGGGAAUCUUGCACAAUGCGCGAAAGCGUGAUGCAGCAACGCCGCGUGGGGAAGACGGCC